UGGGGAAUCUUGCGCAAUGGACGAAAGUCUGACGCAGCCACGCCGCGUGAGUGAAGAAGGCCUUAGGGUUGUAAAGCUCUGUCGCCUGGGACGAAAAAUAUUAGGGUUAACAGCCCUAGUAUCUGACGGUACCAGGAAAGGAAGCACCGGCUAACUCCGUGCCAGCAGCCGCGGUAAUACGGAGGGUGCAAGCGUUGCUCGGAAUUAUUGGGCGUAAAGGGUAGGUAGGUGGUCUCAUUUGUCUGGGGUGAAAGCCUUGAGCUUAACUCAAGAAGUGCCCCAGAAACGGUGAGACUGGAGUCCUGGAGAGGGUCGUGGAAUUCCCGGUGUAGCGGUGAAAUGCGUAGAGAUCGGGAGGAACACCAGAGGCGAAAGCGGCGACCUGGACAGGUACUGACACUCAACUACGAAAGCGUGGGGAGCAAACA
rnacentral:rRNA from 1 species